AUGGAAAGUAACAGAGCCCCUGGUCCAGAUAAUAUCCCAGUUGAAUUUUAUAAACACUGCUGGGACUUUGUUAAAAGAGAUAUUAUGUGUCUAUUCGAAGCCUUCCAUAACAACACUUUGGAUGUUGCGCGCUUGAACUAUGGGGUAAUUACCUUGAUCCUAAAGUUGAAUGAGGCCAAAAAAAUUCAACAAUAUCGCCCUAUUUACCUCCUCCGAUGCCCCUAUAAAUUGAUAACCAAGGUUCUUGACAACAGAGUUGCCGUGUUCGCUGACAAGCUUAUUAGCAAGCACCAAAAUGUGUUUAUCAAGCAUAGAAAUAUUAUGGAUAGAACCCUCACUCUGCAUGUGUGUUGCAUCACACACAUCAUAAAAAAAUGUGGAGUUGUGCUGAAAUUAGAUUUUGAAAAAGCCUACGAUAAGGUAAAUUGGGACUUCCUUAUCGAAUGUCACCGCAAUCGUGGCUUUGGGGACGUUGGAGACAUAUGCGAAAAUCCAAAUUAUAGAUACGUUGGAGGCGUAUCACGUCUUGCCCCUACCUGGCCUAGCCGCUGCCAGCCAGAGCCGGCCAAUCCCUCAUCUCGGCCAUCCACUCCACCGUGGCCAUCGUUCGUGCCCCGCAGUGUCGGUGGCCUCGUGCUGGCCGCCGGUGACCUCCAAUGGCUUCGAACAAGCCUGAGCGCGCAGGGUCCCACGCCACCUCCACGACUCAAGAGAGAAGCCUUCUGCACCCUCGUGGCCGACCGCCUCUCGCUGCCCAUGCCCAUUGUGGCCACCGUCACGGGCCACGCAGCUGACCCGGCUGCAUGCUAG
rnacentral:rRNA from 1 species